UACGGAGGGGGCGAGCGUUAUUCGGAAUUAUUGGGCGUAAAGGGUGCGUAGGCGGGUUAUUAAGUCAGAGGUGAAAUCCUGGAGCUCAACUCCAGAACUGCCUUUGAUACUGAUAGUCUUGAGUAUGGGAGAGGUGAGUGGAACUGCGAGUGUAGAGGUGAAAUUCGUAGAUAUUCGCAAGAACACCAGUGGCGAAGGCGGCUCACUGGCCCAUUACUGACGCUGAGGCACGAAAGCGUGGGGAGCAAACAGG
rnacentral:rRNA from 1 species